AAAGGCGUCCGGCAGCUUAGAAUUAACCUACCGCCGAGAAUGCAGGUCUCGCACAAAAAAAGGCUGUAUGAAUGAAGAAGGAACAAAAGAAUGGGUGCAAAUGCCUAAACAAGCCCUUUAAGACCAGAGUCAGAACACAAUAUCAGGCUUGGAUGGUGAACGGACUCUUCACUUACACGCGAUCUGUUCAACACAGGCAAGGGCUCCUGCAGGAAACAACACAAUGGAGAUAUAAUGACUAUGGCUUAAUUCCAAGAAAAGAACCAGAAAUCAUUGAAAGCUAACUUAUUACAGACCAGGAAAGACAAAGCAACUAAAUGGAAAGAAUAAACAGGCCCUAUUAGGUUUCAGUUAGAUUAGUUUUUGAUAAUUGAAACUUCUGAGGACAUUUGAGUUGAGACUAACAAUUCCCACAAAAUCACUAAGAGAUAUAGAUAUAACAAGACAUGCCAUGGGAAAACACAAAAAGGAAAAUCACUUUUUUUUAUUUGAUAAUGGUACAUUUUUUGGUUAACUUUUUUAGAACUGGGUUUAAUUUCAACUUCAAUCAAAAUACAAGAGACUCAAGCUACAGUUUAAAGUUCACCAACAAUAAGAUUUACUCAUGCUGUCUCUAGUUACAUUCUUAUUACAUGUAUUAUAGCCUUUAAAGUUGAGUUAUACUUGAUGAAUGAGGAAAGUUUCCUUACAGU